ACCCUCUGCUAGCACACAGCAUGCUUCCCCCGUGUUCCUUUUGCAUGGGUCUCACACACAACAGAUACCUUGGUAUGUUUCCCCCAGGGGUUCUAUCGCUCAAGACAGAUAGGAGAUGAUGAGAGAAGUGCCACUUAGCGCUAAGCCACGGAUAACGAGGAAAUCAGUAGGAAGGCGGCUGUGAGAUAAAGGUGAUUCCAUCAGCAAGGCCAUUUUCAAGGGUCCCAGGGCAGAGGAGCACCCCCAUGAGAACGUGUGGCUCACCAGGCCAGAGGGGACAGCCUGUGCUUUGAAGGAGUGCCACUGUAUAUGGGUUGCUGGUGCCUAUGACUGCGGCUGGGAAAAUCCAUCUGCUGCUGGGGAAAGAGUAAGUCCAGUUUGUAUGCGAUCCCAGUUGGGUUUUUAAGUUUUUGGUUGAUCAACUUUAUGGGUCUCAGAGAAGAAUAUUGAAAAGAAAGCAGAGACCCAGUAUCCUUAGGCCAGUAAAUAAAACCCACAGAUGCUCAUGAUUCCAAAAGUGACUUACUAAGAACAGCAAAAAGAAAAGGAGGACUUGUGGCACCUUAGAGACUAAUAAAUUUAUUUGAGCAUCAGCUUUCGUGAGCUACAGCUCACUCCUGCCAGCUCUGCUCUUAGGAGAGGUGAGGUGAGAACACAGGACUGGGAGCCAGGGGUCUCCUGAGUUCUCAUCCUGCCUUUGACACAGACACUCUCUGUGGCCCUGGCUAAGUCACUGCGCCUCUCUGGAACCUGGGGCUGAUGGUGCCUGCCUCGCUCCCAGAGGGCUGCGAGAAUGAGCUAGGAAAUGUUUUCUAGCCCUCUGAGGAUGGAAAGUGUUCUAAACAAUGAAAUGUUCUUGCUGCCCUCCAUGCGCACGCCCAGCUCCUGCCCAUGCUAGUUGGGGGGGCAGGCCAUAGGGUGCACAGCCCUGCUUCUGGGAUGGCAUCCUCAGAGAAAGGGUCAAGAUAUUUCCAGCAGCAGCAGCUCGUAGGUACGAACCGUGUGAUCUGCUGAGGUCUUGCCGCUGGGCAUCACUCCAGCUUGGAUUCUCUGACGCACUGCCGUUUUACUGGGACGGAACCGCUCUGCCCAUGUUACCUGGUGUGGUUCUGUGCAGGGCUGUACAGUGAUGUGGGAAGCCUCAUGGGGUGUGUCCCCACGUGCCUCAGGACCUAAUUCUGAGAGGUGCUGAGCCCCACCUGACUGUGGGAGCAGGCCUUUGGGCAGCACUGGGGUGGAGGCUGGGAGCUGUGUCUCCGGAAUACUCUCUGUGUGUGUCAGGGAUCCCCUGGCUUCUAGGCAGCCUGGUUCCUCGUGUGUAUUCACCUUUAAAAUCGUGCUGCCAGGUGCUGGUGCAGACACACAGCACCAGGGACAGGCCCCCAAUUCAAAUGCACAGUUACCGGCUGGGGAAUAACAGGCAAGGCAGCAGAGCUGCUGAAAAGGAUUUGGGGGUGAGAGUGGGUCACACGUGGACUAUAAGUCAAAACCAUGAUGCUGUUGCAACAAAGGCUACUAUCGUUCUGGGGUGUAUUACCAGGCAUGUUGUAUGUAAGACAUGGGAGGUGAUGGUCCCGCUCUACUCGGCACUGGGGAGGCCUCAGCUGGAGUCCUGUGUCCAGUUCUGGGCGCCCCACUUGAGCAAAGAUGUGGACAAAUGGGAGAGAGUCCAGAAGAGAAAUGAGAAAAGGUUUAACCAUUCCUCCUAGCUCAGGUUUUCUAAAAAACCCUGGGUAUGUUUAGUUCUGAGGAAAGACUGAGCAGGGACCUGAUGACAGUCCUCAAAUCGGUGAAGGGCUGCUCUAAAGAGGACGGGGUCAACUGUUCUCCAUGGCCACUGAAGGCAGGAGACGUGAUGGGCUAAUCUGCCGCAUGGGAGACUGAGGUGAGAUAUUAGAAAAAGCUUCUUAACGCCCAGGGGAGUGAAACCCUGGAACAGGGAGGGUGAGGGAGGCUGUGGAAUCCCUGUCCUUGGAGGAUUGUAAGAACAGGUGGGACAAACCCCUGUCAAGAACAGUCUGGGUUUACUUGGCCCUGCCUCAGUGCACACCACUGGACUAGAUGAGUUCUUGUGGUCCUUCCAGCCCGACAGUUCCAUGAUUCUAACCCUCUGGAAUCACUUGGGAUGGGCCCAGCAGCUCCUACACUUACAUGUGCACUGGGUUAGUGGGCUGGACCUCAUGAAGCCCUGCACCCUUCCUCCCUUUGCUUGCGGGGACAGCAGGGCCUUUCUAUGGGCUCCCCCCAGCAUCCUCGAAAGCUCUGCAGGGCGGAGACCCUCCUGCUGGCUGGGAGUGGUAGGAGCAUUGCCCUCCAGAGCCCAACCACGUGGCCCCACUGACCCCACUUGCUUGCCACUCAGGCCUCGGAUCCCCGCACGACCAUGCGGUGCUAUCCCCAUG